rnacentral:rRNA from 1 species
GACGAACGCUGGCGGCGUGCUUAUCACAUGCAAGUCGAACGAAGUGGCGAACGGGUGAGUAAUACGUGAGUAACCUGCCCUCCUUUUUGGGAUAAGCCUUGGAAACGGGGUCUAAUACCGAAUAAAGGGGGAUGGGCUCGCGGCCUCUCAGCUUGUUGGUGGGGUGAGGGCCUACCAAGGCGGUGACGGGUAGCCGGCCUGGGAGGGCGACCGGCGUCAUUGGGGCAGUGUUACGGCCCUCGGUCCUACAGGCGGAAGAAGUGGGGAAUAUUGCACCGGGGGCGAAAGCCUGAUGCAGCGAGGCGGCGUGGGGGAUGAAGGCUUUCGGGGUGUAAACAUCUUUCGCUGUCGAACGGGUAGGUGGAGAAGAAGCGCCGGCUGACUCCGGGACAGCAGCGGCGUAAUAC